rnacentral:rRNA from 1 species
AUUGAACGCUGGCGGCAUGCUUUACACAUGCAAGUCGAACGGCAGCACGAGUGCUUGCACUUGGUGGCGAGUGGCGGACGGGUGAGUAAUACAUCGGAACGUAUCCUUAAGUGGGGGAUAACGCAUCGAAAGAUGUGCUAAUACCGCAUAUUCUCUGUGGAGGAAAGUAGGGGAUCGAAAGACCUUAUGCUUAUGGAGCGGCCGAUGCCUGAUUAGCUUGUUGGUGGGGUAAUGGCCUACCAAGGCGACGAUCAGUAGUUGGUCUGAGAGGACGACCAGCCACACUGGGACUGAGACACGGCCCAGACUCCUACGGGAGGCAGCAGUGGGGAAUUUUGGACAAUGGGCGAAAGCCUGAUCCAGCAAUGCCGCGUGAGUGAAGAAGGCCUUCGGUUGUAAGGACUCUUUAGUUAAGUAAGAAAGGUUAGGUAGACGUAAUAAUACUACAAUUAAUAGUACGGUAGUUAACU